rnacentral:rRNA from 1 species
CAGCAGCGCGGUAAAACGGAGGGGGCUAGCGUUGUUCGGAAUUACUGGGCGUAAAGCGCACGUAGGCGGCUGUGUAAGUCAGAGGUGAAAGCCCGGGGCUCAACCCCGGAAUAGCCUUUGAGACUGCAUAGCUUGAACACGGGAGAGGUGAGUGGAAUUCCGAGUGUAGAGGUGAAAUUCGUAGAUAUUCGGAAGAACACCAGUGGCGAAGGCGGCUCACUGGACCGUUGUUGACGCUGAGGUGCGAAAGCGUGGGGAGCAAACAGGAUUAGAUACCCGGGUAGUCCCUGUCUCUUAUACC